AUGCCAUCACUGUCUUUUCACAGUCCUGGAAGAGUGGCGCUAUUCAUUUGUGCCGUAGACGAGCCACUUCAGCGCAACACUGCCAUCCAUUCUGUUAAGAAGAGGAGGCAGACGGGGAGAGAAAGAGCAUGGGAACCAUUUGGCACUAGAAAAAAACCCUCAGGAGUGUGGGAGAGGGCCAACAAGCUGUCUACAGCAUCCAGGGACCAGACACUCAAUGUGUCGGCUACGCCACCGAGACAGAGGAGAAUGUCAGACUCCCCCAACGCAGAUGAUGACGUUUGUCUUUUCAUCGGGACAAUGGGACGACACUGCACAAAGUGGGAGAGUGUGCAGGUGUUUACUGUAAGGGGGCAGAAGAAAGGACGAGGAAAGAUGGAAACAAACAUCAGUGGCCUCAAGGCCUGGACGGCAGAUGGACUGAAGGAUGAACAGAGAGGAGAGGAGAAAGCAAGUCAUGAGCAAUUUUUUUUUUUUAUUGCCAGAAUACAUAAAACAAAUCUUGAGUGAUGUUGCAGACCACCCAUCAGAUGAGGAGCGUAACUUCCAGGAAAGGAGAACUGGGAAGUAAACGCUUUGUGGUUCCACACAGAAGCCACACACCAGACCUCCACUGUGACUGCAAUGAUGUGUGUUUAUACAAGCACGUGUGAGACAUGAAUAAACAGAAGAAGUGUUUCA
rnacentral:lncRNA from 1 species